rnacentral:rRNA from 1 species
AACGAACGCUGGCGGCAUGCCUAACACAUGCCAGUCGAACGAGACCUUCGGGUCUAGUGGCGCACGGGUGCGUAACGCGUGGGAACCUGCCCUUAGGUUCGGAAUAACUCCCCGAAAGGGGUGCUAAUACCGGAUAAUGUCUUCGGACCAAAGAUUUAUCGCCUUUGGAUGGGCCCGCGUUGGAUUAGCUAGUUGGUAGGGUAAAAGCCUACCAAGGCGACGAUCCAUAGCUGGUCUGAGAGGAUGAUCAGCCACACUGGGACUGAGACACGGCCCAGACUCCUACGGGAGGCAGCAGUGGGGAAUAUUGGACAGUGGGCGAAAGCCUGAUCCAGCAAUGCCGCGUAAGUGAUGAAGGCCUUAGGGUUGUAAAGCUCUUUUACCCGGGAUGAUAAUGACAGUACCGGGAGAAUAAGCUCCGGCUAACUCCGUG